AUGUGGCUUCUUCUUGUACUGAUAUGGAUUAUUUUUCUUACUGUGCAGGCAGAUACGGAGCAUUCUGGUGAGGAGGAUGACGGCAUGAAAGUGGAGGCAGAAUUCAUUGGAGCUGACGGGCCACUCAAAAUCAAGCACCAGAUUCAGUCCAAGGUCUGGGAUGAGUUUGAGCCCAUCUUUCUGGACGACAAGGUCCAGUUUGCAGAGUGCCUGAGCUGCCACUUUCUCUUCAGCUGGAACGGAGAUAGCUGUCUGCGCCGGCACCUGGAAUCCUGCCCGGCCAAACCGGAAGCGGCGGAGAGGCCACAGGAGGACUCCUGCUUCACUGAUGGUAGCAGCUCCAGUGGCGCAACCCGUCGGCCUGUUCAAGGGGUGGCAGAUCAUCAAUCCAUAUCACCAUCAGAUGUCCCAAACCUGAAGAAGAAACAGAAGACCUCAUCUAUGAAUACUGGGGACGAUAUGAGUGCCAGCAAGUUUGGUCAGGAGUCACCUUAUCAAGAUGUGGCCAGAAUGAUCAUACUCCAUGGUUAUCCGCUGUCGAUUGUGGAGCAUCAAGAAAUGAAAAGGAUUUUCAAGAGCAUCAACCCUGUGGCUAACACAAUCUCCCAUAGUGAUAUGGAGGAACAUUUGUUUGAUCUAUUUCAGAAGGAAAAGAUGAAUGUCAAGCGUAAAAUUGCGCUUACCUUCCGGCGCGUCUCUCUGUCAGCAAGCAUCUGGACUGAUGAUGGACCUGAGCCGACGGUAAAGUACCUCUGUCUGACAGCACAUUUCAUCGGCGAAGACUGGAAAAUCCGCAGAAUGAUAAUAAAGUUCGGCAUGUAUUGGUGCUCACCUACUAAUUUGGAAAGGACCAUACACUGCAAGGAGGCCUAUGUUCCACAGUCUGAAAGUGGAUCUUACAAUGUCAUAUGGGAUGCAAUCAGAGAUUGGAAUCUUGAUCAGAAGAUGCUGAGCUUGACUUCAGUUGGUGAAAUCAAGAACGAUGCGAAUACCGCGAGGCUCAAGGCGAUGCUCACGGAGAAGGGGUGCCUUCCCAUCAGAGGCAAGCUAUGCAACAUUGCUUGUUUGGACGACAUGAUAAACAGUGUUGUUGAUGAAGGGCAAUCAGACAUACUUCUCCUUAUUGGUGAUGCAGUAAUGGACUUUUUUGUGGCACAUGCAUCUUCACCAUUGGCCCAGCAACAGCUUCUGGAGGCCAUUUCACAGAUGAGCUUGAAGUGUCCACGGGAAGAUGCCAAGUGGUGGCACAAGUUUUAUUUUAGGCUUGAACUUCUGCUGCAAUUCAAGAAGUUAUUUCCUGCUGAAGAAGUGCUGUCUCCAGAAGAUAUGGGAGUUACUGAGUCCAUUUGCAAGAUUUUGAGAACGUUUUAUCAUGCCAUCGAAGUAAUUUCUGGCCCGAGCUCUCCGACGGCAAACAUAUACUUUAGCGAGGUAUGGAAAGUGAGGACUGUUCUGCAGGAAGAAGCAUCAAAUGAGAAUGUCGAAAUUGCUACAUUGGUCAUGGUGAUGCAGCACGCAUUCGACGAGUACUGGCAGAACUCAUACGUGUGGUUGUCAAUACCUGUUGUUCUAGACCCUAGAUUCAAGAUGAGCUUCAUCGAAUUCCGUCUGCGACAGGCUUAUGGUGCAGGCUCAGCGAGCUACUUAUCCGAAAUACGCGGUGCGGUGCAGGAACUGUUUGGUGAGUACUACAAGCCUAUGAAUCAGCCGAGUGGUGCCGUUGUUUCGAGCAGUGCAGAUGAUAAAGAUUCAUUGGAAGAUUGGGAUGAGCAUGUCAGUAGUCAGAUGUCUUCAGAGCUUGAUGGCUACCUUGGGGAGGGCCUAGUCCCAAGAGAGGAUGAUUUUGACAUUCUGAAAUGGUGGAUGGAACAUGCCACCAAGUACCCCACGCUUGCGGCUAUUGCGUGGGACGUCCUGGCCAUGCCGGCGUCUGCAGUUCACUCUGAAGCUGCAUUUAGCAGCAGCGGGCCGGUGAUCCCGAGGCACAAUAGUGCGCUGAGCAUCAGGACGAUUGAGGCGCUCGUCUGUUCUCGAGAUUGGAUGAGAUGA
rnacentral:rRNA from 1 species